rnacentral:rRNA from 1 species
UACGGGGGGUGCGAGCGUUGUCCGGAAUCACUGGGCGUAAAGAGCUCGUAGGCGGUCUGUCGCGCCGGCUGUGAAAACCCGGGGCUCAACCCCGGGCCUGCAGUCGAUACGGGCAGACUAGAGUGCGGUAGGGGAGACUGGAAUUCCUGGUGUAGCGGUGAAAUGCGCAGAUAUCAGGAGGAACACCGGUGGCGAAGGCGGGUCUCUGGGCCGUAACUGACGCUGAGGAGCGAAAGCGUGGGGAGCGAACAGG